AGUCCUUUCCAGCAUACCUUGCAGUGUACUGGACAUCAGAUAACACAAGCUGCACUAGCACUAAAGGCAGGGAGAAAACAGCAGUACUUUUGGAGUUCCUGUCUUGGCUCUGCAGACACGAAUCUAACCUAGUAUCCAUGAGGACGUGGGUUCGAUCCCUGGCCUUGCUCAGUGGGUCAGGGAUUCAGCACUGCUGUGAACUGCGGUGUAGGUUGUAACGCGACUUGGACACCGCAUCACUGUGGCUGUGGCACAGGCUCGCGGUAGCUCUGAUUCAGACCCCCUAGUCCAGGAACCUUGAUAUGCCUAAAAAGACAAAAAAAAAAAAAAAAAAAAAGGAGGGGGUAGUAUUUUUAUAAAAGCCUUUUAUGGCCCUAGUUUUAUAAGAAAAAGAGAAUAAAAUAUUAUAUUACCUGUUGUCCAGAACACUGUUUAUCAUUUUUAAAACAUUUAUUAUUUCUCCCUAGUUCCUGAGCGGGCAUUUCUUGUUGAAAUACCCUGGCAUUGAUCUAUUAGAAGAUUUAUCAAAUUUAAAGCCCACUAAUCCUAGUACCUUUCAUGGUUGCGUAUGUUUCAGAAUCUCACUGCACAUCUUGAUCAAGACCAGGAGCGAGGAUACACAGCCAGUGCUUCACGAGUGGACUGAAGAGAAAAGGCAUCCAGCUGCACGGAGUGGGGAUGGGAUUGAGGCACUAACACCCACUUCAGGGGCACCAGGUGUCACUAAUAAUUAAGAUUAUCUGUGGUAUAAAUCCGGCUGUUUCGGAGCGUUCCCUACAACCACUUUGGGAUCCAGCGUUCCGGCGUCCGGUAAGUGAGUUGGCUUUUUUCUCUUUGUAUUUAAUUUUUAAAAAUUGUGUUGCUGUUUGUAUCCUUUUGUCUUCUCUUCCUUUUGGCUUUAGGUCUUAAAUAAAGUCCAUCCUGUAGUCUCA
rnacentral:lncRNA from 1 species